rnacentral:rRNA from 1 species
UACAGAGGGGGCAAGCGUUGUCCGGAAUUAUUGGGCGUAAAGAGCUCGUAGGUGGUCUGUUGCGUCGGCUGUGAAAUCCCGAGGCUCAACCUCGGGCCUGCAGCCGAUACGGGCAGACUAGAGUUCGGCAGGGGAGACUGGAAUUCCUGGUGUAGCGGUGAAAUGCGCAGAUAUCAGGAGGAACACCGGUGGCGAAGGCGGGUCUCUGGGCCGAUACUGACACUGAGGAGCGAAAGCGUGGGGAGCGAACGGG